rnacentral:rRNA from 1 species
GAUGAACGCUGGCGGCGUGCCUAAUACAUGCAAGUCGAGCGAACAGACGAGGAGCCUGCUCCUCUGACGUUAGCGGCGGACGGGUGAGUAACACGUGGAUAACCUACCUAUAAGACUGGGAUAACUUCGGGAAACCGGAGCUAAUACCGGAUAACAUGUUGAACCGCAUGGUUCAACAGUGAAAGACGGUUUUGCUGUCACUUAUAGAUGGAUCCGCGUCGCAUUAGCUAGUUGGUAAGGUAACGGCUUACCAAGGCAACGAUGCGUAGCUGACCUGAGAGGGUGAUCGGCCACACUGGAACUGAGACACGGUCCAGACUCCUACGGGAGGCAGCAGUAGGGAAUCUUCCGCAUUGGGCGAAAGCCUGACGGAGCAACGCCGCGUGAGUGAAGAAGGUCUUCGGAUCGUAAAACUCUGUUAUUAGGGAAGAACAAAUGUGUAAGUAACUAUGCACGUCUUGACGGUACCGAAUCAGAAAGCCACGGCUAACUACGU